CACGUAGGAGGCGAGCGUUGUCCGGAAUCAUUGGGCGUAAAGAGCGCGCAGGCGGCUUGGCAAGUCGGGUGUGAAAUCCCGGGGCUCAACCCCGUGACUGCAUCCGAUACUGUCAGGCUAGAGGUAGGUAGGGGAGAUCGGAAUUCCUGGUGUAGCGGUGAAAUGCGCAGAUAUCAGGAGGAACACCGGUGGCGAAGGCGGGUCUCUGGGCCGAUACUGACGCUGAGGAGCGAAAGCGUGGGGAGCGAACAGG
rnacentral:rRNA from 1 species